rnacentral:rRNA from 1 species
GACGAACGCUGGCGGCGUGCUUAACACAUGCAAGUCGAACGGAAAGGCCCUGCUUUUGUGGGGUGCUCGAGUGGCGAACGGGUGAGUAACACGUGAGUAACCUGCCCUUGACUUUGGGAUAACUUCAGGAAACUGGGACUAAUACCGGAUAGGAGCUCCUGCUGCAUGGUGGGGGUUGGAAAGUUUCGGCGGUUGGGGAUGGAUUCGAGGCUUAUCAGCUUGUUGGUGGGGUAGUGGCUUACCAAGGCUUUGACGGGUAGCCGGCCUGAGAGGGUGACCGGCCACAUUGGGACUGAGGGACGGCCCAGACUCCUACGGGAGGCAGCAGGGGGGAAGAUUGCACAAUGGGCGGAAGCCUGAUGCAGAAACGCCGCGGGCGGGAUGACGGCCUUCGGGUUGUAAACCGCUUUCGCCUGUGACGAAGCGUGAGUGACGGUAAUGGGUAAAGAAGCACCGGCUAACUACGUGC